AUGCCCUUCGGGGCUCUCUGGUGAUUCAUAAUAACUUCUCGAAUCGCACGGCCUUGCGCCGGCGAUGGUUCAUUCAAAUUUCUGCCCUAUCAACUUUCGACGGCUGGGUCUUGGCCAGCCAUGGUGACAACGGGUAACGGAGGGUUAGGGCUCGACCCCGGAGAAGGAGCCUGAGAAACGGCUACUACAUCCAAGGAAGGCAGCAGGCGCGCAAAUUACCCAAUCCCGACUCGGGGAGGUAGUGACAAUAAAUACUGAUACAGGGCUCUUUUGGGUCUUGUAAUUGGAAUGAGUACAAUUUAAAUCCCUUAACGAGGAACAAUUGGAGGGCAAGUCUGGUGCCAGCAGCCGCGGUAAUUCCAGCUCCAAUAGCGUAUAUUAAAGUUGUUGCAGUUAAAAAGCUCGUAGUUGAACCUUGGGCCUGGCUGGCCGGUCCGCCUCACCGCGUGCACUGGUCCGGCCGGGCCUUUCCCUCUGGGGAACCGCAUGCCCUUCACUGGGUGUGUCGGGGAACCAGGACUUUUACUUUGAACAAAUUAGAUCGCUUAAAGAAGGCCUAUGCUCGAAUACAUUAGCAUGGAAUAAUAGAAUAGGACGUGUGGUUCUAUUUUGUUGGUUUCUAGGACCGCCGUAAUGAUUAAUAGGGACAGUCGGGGGCAUCAGUAUUCAAUUGUCAGAGGUGAAAUUCUUGGAUUUAUUGAAGACUAACUACUGCGAAAGCAUUUGCCAAGGAUGUUUUCAUUAAUCAGGAACGAAAGUUAGGGGAUCGAAGACGAUCAGAUACCGUCGUAGUCUUAACCAUAAACUAU
rnacentral:rRNA from 1 species